rnacentral:rRNA from 1 species
UACAGAGGUCUCAAGCGUUGUUCGGAUUCAUUGGGCGUAAAGGGUGCGUAGGCGGCGCGGUAAGUCGGAUGUGAAAUCUCGGAGCUUAACUUCGAAACUGCAUUCGAUACUGCCGUGCUUGAGGACUGGAGAGGAGACUGGAAUUUACGGUGUAGCGGUGAAAUGCGUAGAUAUCGUAAGGAAGACCAGUAGCGAAGGCGGGUCUCUGGACAGUUCCUGACGCUGAGGCACGAAGGUCAGGGGAGCAAACGGG